CUGCAGCGUGCUUCUCCAGGCCCCGCGCGCGGACAGACACACGGACAAGUCCCGCCAGGGGCUGGGCGCGCGCCAGCCGG
ensembl:miRNA MIR4492 microRNA 4492